rnacentral:rRNA from 1 species
CCGGCGCACGGGUGCGUAACGCGUAUGCAAUCUACCUUUCACAGAGGGAUAGCCCAGAGAAAUUUGGAUUAAUACCUCAUAGUAUAUAGAAGUGGCAUCACUUUUAUAUUAAAGUCACAACGGUGAAAGAUGAGCAUGCGUCCCAUUAGCUAGUUGGUAAGGUAACGGCUUACCAAGGCAACGAUGGGUAGGGGUCCUGAGAGGGAGAUCCCCCACACUGGUACUGAGACACGGACCAGACUCCUACGGGAGGCAGCAGUGAGGAAUAUUGGUCAAUGGACGCAAGUCUGAACCAGCCAUGCCGCGUGCAGGAUGACGGUCCUAUGGAUUGUAAACUGCUUUUGU